CUACGGGGGGCUCCAGGCGCGAAACCUUUACAAUGCACGAAAGUGUGAUAAGGGAACCCUAAGUGCUUUGCUUUUGCAAGGCUUUUUUCAAGAGCAAAUAUCUUGAAGAAUAAGUGGUGGGCAAUACCUGUGCCAGCCGCCGCGGUAAUCCAGGAGCCACAAGUGGCAACCAUUUUUAUUGGGCCUAAAGCGUCCGUAGCAGGUUUAGUAAAUCUUCUGUGAAAUCAUUAGGCUUAACCUAACGACGUGCAGGAGAGACUGUUAAACUCGAGAUUGGUAGGAGUCAGAGGUAUUUUAGGGGGAGCGGUAAAAUGCUAUAAUCCCUAUAGGACCACCUGUGGCGAAGGCGUCUGACUAGAACAAAUCUGACUGUGAGGGACGAAAGCUAGGGGAGCAAUCCGGAUUAGAUACCCUCGUAGUC
rnacentral:rRNA from 1 species